UACGUAGGGUGCAAGCGUUAAUCGGAAUUACUGGGCGUAAAGCGUGCGCAGGCGGCUUUGCAAGACAGAUGUGAAAUCCCCGGGCUUAACCUGGGAACUGCAUUUGUGACUGCACGGCUAGAGUACGGCAGAGGGGGGUGGAAUUCCGCGUGUAGCAGUGAAAUGCGUAAAGAUGCGGAGGAACACCGAUGGCGAAGGCAGCCCCCUGGGCUGACACUGACGCUCAGGCACGAAAGCGUGGGGAGCAAACAGG
rnacentral:rRNA from 1 species